rnacentral:lncRNA from 1 species
GCACAAAAAGUCGUUACACCUGGAGACUUCCUCUGCUGCAUUGGAUGGCCGUGUUGUCCUUUGUGCUCCAUCACGCCCUAAGCACUCCACAGUGCUUUGCUGCGUUGCCCUCUCAGCCGUUGAACCCUCUAAUUGGUUUCUUCGGUCUGUUUGGCCGAAGCAGUCUUCACAUGCUGGAUGAGAAAAUUGAGACCUGGGAGCUGUGAUAGUGACUAGUCCAAGGCCACGUGGAUCAAGAAAUGUCAAAGGCAAGAUUUGCAUCCUACCUCUGACUCCAGAGCCAGUGUUUUUCUCAGUUUAACAUAAUUAAAAAAAAUCUAUUCAAG